rnacentral:rRNA from 1 species
CCCGUAGGAGUGAGCGGCGGACGGGUUAGUAACGCGUGGGAACAUACCUUUCGGUAAGGAAUAGCCACUGGAAACGGUGAGUAAUACCUUAUACGCCCUUCGGGGGAAAGAUUUAUCGCCGAGAGAUUGGCCCGCGUUAGAUUAGAUAGUUGGUGGGGUAACGGCCUACCAAGUCUACGAUCUAUAGCUGGUUUUAGAGGAUGAUCAGCAACACUGGGACUGAGACACGGCCCAGACUCCUACGGGAGGCAGCAGUGGGGAAUCUUGGACAAUGGGCGCAAGCCUGAUCCAGCCAUGCCGCGUGAGUGAUGAAGGCCUUAGGGUCGUAAAGCUCUUUCGCCAGAGAUGAUAAUGACAGUAUCUGGUAAAGAAACCCCGGCUAACUCCGUGCCAGCAGCCGCGGUAAUACGGAGGGGGUUAGCGUUGUUCGGAAUUACUGGGCGUAAAGCGUACGUAGGCGGACCAUUAAGUUGGGGGUGAAAUCCCGGGGCUCAACCCCGGAACUGCCUCCAAAACUGCUGGUCUUGAGUUCGAGAGAGGUGAGUGGAAUUCCGAGUGUAGAGGUGAAAUUCGUAGAUAUUCGGAGGAACACCAGUGGCGAAGGCGGCUCACUGGCUCGAUACUGACGCUGAGGUACGAAAGUGUGGGGA